CUGGGAUGAAAAUCCGAAUGAAAUAUACAAAUAACUCUUGAGCUAGGUAAAUUUAAAAUUCUGUGUCAAAAUGAUUUAUGGAACCCAAGGCAGGGUAUCAACGGUAGGAAAUCAAGCAAUGAAAUCAGCAAAGUUGCAGACAGUCAGCUGGUUUGGGCCAACAACAAAGUAGCGCCAGCAACCGAACAAUCAAACGAAAUCAUAAAGCAGACGGGUGGCUGGGCAAAAGGACGAAGGUCCACAAAACUGGACAAGUGUGUGGAUGGCACAAAUAUCAAAACGGCGGACAAUGGGAUGCUGGGCAGCGUUGGUUGCCAUGGAGUCGGCAAAUCGGCAGGAAACACUCGCUGCGAGUCCUUUAAAGGAGAUGUGGUAGUCCCUCGCACAUUUAUCAAAAACACUUUCACUUGGCGCAAAUUCGCACAUUUAUCUUAUGCAAGCCAGAGGAAAACAGCGAAAGAGAACCAAUUCUAUUACAGCUGCUGGCAUGGAUUCCAAAUUCUAUGGCCAUGGCACACAAAGUGUCCACGGACACGGACUUGGAAUCGGACUCAAACUCGGACUCCUCCAGCUCCGGCGAAUGUGGGCAGUUUGCCACUUGCACCCGCCGUGACACAAGGAUACACAGGACCACCCACCCAAUAUACUAUUUCAUUUGCAUUUCGUAUAAGUCACAUGGCUACGUGACCCACAUGCACAAGACUCCCAGCUCGGGCUGUUCGAGUUUUUGCCAAUAACGGACUACAAACGAGUUCAGACGAGGCGUCUGUGUGGAUGGGUGGUCCUGGUGGGUGGGUCCUGGAGUCUGGGCCUUGGGCACGAGGGCUAUUGUGCAAAGACAAGCACAAAUUUGUAUAAAUUUUCAAUAAAUUACAUCAAAUCAA